UACGGGGGGGGCAAGCGUUGUUCGGAAUUACUGGGCGUAAAGGGCUCGUAGGCGGCCAACUAAGUCGGACGUGGAAUCCCUCGGCUUAACCGGGGAACUGCGUCCGAUACUGGAUGGCUUGAGUUUGGGAGAGGGAUGCGGAAUUCCAGGUGUAGCGGUGAAAUGCGUAGAUAUCUGGAGGAACACCGGUGGCGAAGGCGGCAUCCUGGACCAACACUGACGCUGAUGAGCGAAAGCCAGGGGAGCAAACGGG
rnacentral:rRNA from 1 species